AGUGGAAUUUCUUGGUCGUAUGGUAACUCUAUGUUUAACUUUUUGAGGAACUGCCAAACUGUUCUCCAAAGUGGCUGCACCAUUUUAAAAUCCCACCAGCAAU
rnacentral:pre_miRNA from 1 species